UUUAGUAAAUUAACUGAAGUAUUUUACUAAAUGAAACAUCACCAGAGAACUUCACUGGACAUGGGAGAUAAUUAACGGAGAUAGAGACCAUGAU